UAGUCAUUGAUGAAGAAACUCCCUAUAUACC
rnacentral:piRNA from 1 species